rnacentral:rRNA from 1 species
GCUUUCCCUCCAGAGUGGAUCCUGAGUACGGCGGAACACGUGAAAUUCCGUCGGAAUCCGGGAGGACCAUCUCCCAAGGCUAAAUACUCCCUAGUGACCGAUAGUGAACCAGUACCGUGAGGGAAAGGUGAAAAGCACCCCGGAAGGGGAGUGAAACAGUUCCUGAAACCGUGUGCCUACAAGUAGUUAGAGCCCGUUAAUGGGUGAUAGCGUGCCUUUUGUAGAAUGAACCGGCGAGUUACGAUUUGUUGCAAGGUUAAGCGGAAAAAGCGGAGCCGUAGCGAAAGCGAGUCUGAAUAGGGCGCAUAAGUAACAGGUCGUAGACCCGAAACCAGGUGAUCUACCCAUGUCCAGGAUGAAGGUAAGGUAAUACUUACUGGAGGUCCGAACCCACGCACGUUGAAAAGUGCGGGGAUGAGGUGUGGGUAGCGGAGAAAUUCCAAUCGAACUUGGAGAUAGCUGGUUCUCUCCGAAAUAGCUUUAGGGCUAGCCUCGAGGUAAAGAGUCAUGGAGGUAGAGCACUGUUUGGACUAGGGGCCCUUCUCGGGUUACCGAAUUCAGAUAAACUCCGAAUGCCAUGUACUUAUACUCGGGAGUCAGACUGCGAGUGAUAAGAUCCGUAGUCGAAAGGGAAACAGCCCAGACCACCAGUUAAGGUCCCCAAAUAUAUGUUAAGUGGAAAAGGAUGUGGGGUUGCUUAGACAACCAGGAUGUUGGCUUAGAAGCAGCCACCAUUGAAAGAGUGCGUAAUAGCUCACUGGUCGAGUGACCCCGCGCCGAAAAUGUACCGGGGCUAAACAUAUUACCGAAACUGUGGAUGAACCUCUUUAGAGGUUCGUGGUAGGAGAGCGUUCUAAGGGCGGUGAAGUCAGACCGGAAGGACUGGUGGAGCGCUUAGAAGUGAGAAUGCCGGUAUGAGUAGCGAAAGAAGGGUGAGAAUCCCUUCCACCGAAUAUCUAAGGUUUCCUGAGGAAGGC